rnacentral:rRNA from 1 species
UACGGGGGGGGCAAGGGUUGUUCGGAAUUACUGGGCGGAAAGGGCUCGUAGGCGGCCAACUAAGUCAGACGUGAAAUCCCUCGGCUUAACCGGGGAACUGCGUCUGAUACUGGAUGGCUUGAGAUUGGGAGAGGGAUGCGGAAUUCCAGGUGUAGCGGUGAAAUGCGUAGAUAUCUGGAGGAACACCGGUGGCGAAGGCGGCAUCCUGGACCAACACUGACGCUGAGGAGCGAAAGCCAGGGGAGCAAACGGG